UGGGGAAUAUUGCACAAUGGGGGAAACCCUGAUGCAGCGACGCCGCGUGAAGGAUGAAGUAUUUCGGUAUGUAAACUUCUAUCAGCAGGGAAGAAAAUGGCGGUACCUGACUAAGAAGCCCCGGCUAACUACGUGCCAGCAGCCGCGGUAAUACGUAGGGGGCAAGCGUUAUCCGGAUUUACUGGGUGUAAAGGGAGCGUAGACGGAAUUGCAAGUCUGAUGUGAAAAUCCGGGGCCCAACCCCGGAACUGCAUUGGAAACUGUAUUUCUAGAGUGUCGGAGAGGCAAGUGGAAUUCCUGGUGUAGCGGUGAAAUGCGUAGAUAUCAGGAGGAACACCAGUGGCGAAGGCGGCUUGCUGGACGAUGACUGACGUUGAGGCUCGAAAGCGUGGGGAGCAAACAGG
rnacentral:rRNA from 1 species